UAAGCAAUUACUACGGGCUUCAAGGACGUUUCUUUAGUCAUGGUAUCUAUGCUAGCAAGGAAGGGUGCCAUAUAUAAUCAACAUUUUUUCUUCAAAGCAUUCAAUUUUUGCUUAACCCUCACCACCCUUCAUACUAAAGACGUUGAAGCUUGCAUUCAUUAUCUAGUGGUAUCCGAAAACUAAGGAAGAGACAAUGCUCAUGACUUUGCCCUAACAUUUAAAGAAAGAAGAAGUAAAGUAGCUAUGUCAUUUUCAAAUUUGUUUGGAUCUUACACAUGUGGGGCGAAGCUUCCUAGUGGUGGGUCUGUUGCUCGUGGUUCAUCUGACGGUGGUGGAUCUUCCCAUGGUUGUGGCGCGAGGAUUUUUGGUAUUAAGCCCAUGUGCUACUGUGGUCAGUCAGUUGUAUUGAGAAUGACAAAAACCCCUAAGCAUAGGGGCAAACAAUUUUGAGGAUGCCUUAAGUUUAAGUGGGUCUCAAGAUUUGGGUGGCUGCAAUUUUUUCCAAUGGUUUAUUCAAUAGGAAAUCGAAGAAGAAGUGUGUGUGUGUGAAGAAAAAUCUAAUUAAUCGAGAUGUGGUGAAGAUGGAAGAAAGAGAUUCUGGAGGGAUUGAAGUGCUGAAAUUAGAGAAGAUUGAAGAAAAAAGAUGUUGUGAAUAUGAGAGAAAAAGAUGGUGGAUGGAUCGUAACUGAGAAACUAGAUAAGGCUAUAGUUAGUUUGCAAAAGUGGAUGAAGUUGAUGUUAGGGAUGAUGGUUGUUUUAUGCAAUAGUUAUAUCACUGUUGUUGUAAAGGCCUCAUGUGUUGUAAUGAGAUGGUUGAACUUUUGUGUUUUUUAAUGUUUC